GGGUUGUGAGGUUAAGCGACUAAGCGUACACGGUGGAUGCCCUGGCAGUCAGAGGCGAUGAAGGACGUGCUAAUCUGCGAUAAGCGUCGGUAAGGUGAUAUGAACCGUUAUAACCGGCGAUUUCCGAAUGGGGAAACCCAGUGUGUUUCGACACACUAUCAUUAACUGAAUCCAUAGGUUAAUGAGGCGAACCGGGGGAACUGAAACAUCUAAGUACCCCGAGGAAAAGAAAUCAACCGAGAUUCCCCCAGUAGCGGCGAGCGAACGGGGAGCAGCCCAGAGCCUGAAUCAGUAUGUGUGUUAGUGGAAGCGUCUGGAAAGGCGCGCGAUACAGGGUGACAGCCCCGUACACAAAAAUGCACAUGCUGUGAGCUCGAUGAGUAGGGCGGGACACGUGGUAUCCUGUCUGAAUAUGGGGGGACCAUCCUCCAAGGCUAAAUACUCCUGACUGACCGAUAGUGAACCAGUACCGUGAGGGAAAGGCGAAAAGAACCCCGGCGAGGGGAGUGAAAAAGAACCUGAAACCGUGUACGUACAAGCAGUGGGAGCACGCUUAGGCGUGUGACUGCGUACCUUUUGUAUAAUGGGUCAGCGACUUAUAUUCUGUAGCAAGGUUAACCGAAUAGGGGAGCCGAAGGGAAACCGAGUCUUAACUGGGCGUUAAGUUGCAGGGUAUAGACCCGAAACCCGGUGAUCUAGCCAUGGGCAGGUUGAAGGUUGGGUAACACUAACUGGAGGACCGAACCGACUAAUGUUGAAAAAUUAGCGGAUGACUUGUGGCUGGGGGUGAAAGGCCAAUCAAACCGGGAGAUAGCUGGUUCUCCCCGAAAGCUAUUUAGGUAGCGCCUCGUGAAUUCAUCUCCGGGGGUAGAGCACUGUUUCGGCAAGGGGGUCAUCCCGACUUACCAACCCGAUGCAAACUGCGAAUACCGGAGAAUGUUAUCACGGGAGACACACGGCGGGUGCUAACGUCCGUCGUGAAGAGGGAAACAACCCAGACCGCCAGCUAAGGUCCCAAAGUCAUGGUUAAGUGGGAAACGAUGUGGGAAGGCCCAGACAGCCAGGAUGUUGGCUUAGAAGCAGCCAUCAUUUAAAGAAAGCGUAAUAGCUCACUGGUCGAGUCGGCCUGCGCGGAAGAUGUAACGGGGCUAAACCAUGCACCGAAGCUGCGGCAGCGACGCUGAUGCGUUGUUGGGUAGGGGAGCGUUCUGUAAGCCUGCGAAGGUGUGCUGUGAGGCAUGCUGGAGGUAUCAGAAGUGCGAAUGCUGACAUAAGUAACGAUAAAGCGGGUGAAAAGCCCGCUCGCCGGAAGACCAAGGGUUCCUGUCCAACGUUAAUCGGGCAGGGUGAGUCGACCCCUAAGGCGAGGCCGAAAGGCGUAGUCGAUGGGAAACAGGUUAAUAUUCCUGUACUUGGUGUUACUGCGAAGGGGGGACGGAGAAGGCUAUGUUGGCCGGGCGACGGUUGUCCCGGUUUAAGCGUGUAGGCUGGUUUUCCAGGCAAAUCCGGAAAAUCAAGGCUGAGGCGUGAUGACGAGGCACUACGGUGCUGAAGCAACAAAUGCCCUGCUUCCAGGAAAAGCCUCUAAGCAUCAGGUAACAUCAAAUCGUACCCCAAACCGACACAGGUGGUCAGGUAGAGAAUACCAAGGCGCUUGAGAGAACUCGGGUGAAGGAACUAGGCAAAAUGGUGCCGUAACUUCGGGAGAAGGCACGCUGAUAUGUAGGUGAAGUCCCUCGCGGAUGGAGCUGAAAUCAGUCGAAGAUACCAGCUGGCUGCAACUGUUUAUUAAAAACACAGCACUGUGCAAACACGAAAGUGGACGUAUACGGUGUGACGCCUGCCCGGUGCCGGAAGGUUAAUUGAUGGGGUUAGCGCAAGCGAAGCUCUUGAUCGAAGCCCCGGUAAACGGCGGCCGUAACUAUAACGGUCCUAAGGUAGCGAAAUUCCUUGUCGGGUAAGUUCCGACCUGCACGAAUGGCGUAAUGAUGGCCAGGCUGUCUCCACCCGAGACUCAGUGAAAUUGAACUCGCUGUGAAGAUGCAGUGUACCCGCGGCAAGACGGAAAGACCCCGUGAACCUUUACUAUAGCUUGACACUGAACAUUGAGCCUUGAUGUGUAGGAUAGGUGGGAGGCUUUGAAGUGUGGACGCCAGUCUGCAUGGAGCCGACCUUGAAAUACCACCCUUUAAUGUUUGAUGUUCUAACGUUGACCCGUAAUCCGGGUUGCGGACAGUGUCUGGUGGGUAGUUUGACUGGGGCGGUCUCCUCCUAAAGAGUAACGGAGGAGCACGAAGGUUGGCUAAUCCUGGUCGGACAUCAGGAGGUUAGUGCAAUGGCAUAAGCCAGCUUGACUGCGAGCGUGACGGCGCGAGCAGGUGCGAAAGCAGGUCAUAGUGAUCCGGUGGUUCUGAAUGGAAGGGCCAUCGCUCAACGGAUAAAAGGUACUCCGGGGAUAACAGGCUGAUACCGCCCAAGAGUUCAUAUCGACGGCGGUGUUUGGCACCUCGAUGUCGGCUCAUCACAUCCUGGGGCUGAAGUAGGUCCCAAGGGUAUGGCUGUUCGCCAUUUAAAGUGGUACGCGAGCUGGGUUUAGAACGUCGUGAGACAGUUCGGUCCCUAUCUGCCGUGGGCGCUGGAGAACUGAGGGGGGCUGCUCCUAGUACGAGAGGACCGGAGUGGACGCAUCACUGGUGUUCGGGUUGUCAUGCCAAUGGCACUGCCCGGUAGCUAAAUGCGGAAGAGAUAAGUGCUGAAAGCAUCUAAGCACGAAACUUGCCCCGAGAUGAGUUCUCCCUGACUCCUUGAGAGUCCUGAAGGAACGUUGAAGACGACGACGUUGAUAGGCCGGGUGUGUAAGCGCAGCGAUGCGUUGAGCUAACCGGUACUAAUGAACCGUGAGGCUUAACCUUACAACGCCGAAGGUGUUU
rnacentral:rRNA from 1 species